rnacentral:rRNA from 1 species
CGCACGGGUGAGUAACGCGUGGGUAAUCUACCUUCGAAUUGGGGAUAACGUUGCGAAAGCGACGCUAAUACCGAAUAACAUCCAUUAACCUUCGGGUUUUUGGAUCAAGGGUGGCCUCUACAUGUAAGCUACUGUUUGAAGAUGAGCCCGCGUACCAUUAGCUUGUUGGUGGGGUAAAGGCCUACCAAGGCUUCGAUGGUUAGCUGGUCUGAGAGGAUGAUCAGCCACACUGGAACUGACACACGGUCCAGACUCCUACGGGAGGCAGCAGUGAGGAAUUUUGCGCAAUGGGCGAAAGCCUGACGCAGCAACGCCGCGUGAGUGAUGAAGGCUUUCGGGUCGUAAAGCUCUGUCAAGUGGGAAGAACCUGCAGUAUGCUAAUAUCAUAUUGCACUGACGGUACCACUGAAGGAAGCACCGGCUAACUCCGUGCCAGCAGCCGCGGUAAUACGGGGGGUGCAAGCGUUAUUCGGAAUCAUUGGGCGUAAAGAGCACGUAGGCGGCUUGGUAAGUCAGAUGUGAAAGCCCGGGGCUUAACCCCGGAAGUGCAUUUGAUACUGCCAGGCUUGAGUAUGGGAGAGGGAAGUGGAAUUCCUGGUGUAGAGGUGAAAUUCGUAGAUAUCAGAGGAACACCGGUGGCGAAAGGCGACUUCCUGGACCAAUACUGACGCUGAGGUGCGAAGGCGUGGGUAGCAAACAGGAUUAGAUACCC